UAUUAAGUAUAAAAUCGUCCCGUCGUCGGUGUGGUAUAGCCGACAAAACUUGCAUACUUUAUAUACAGUUUAUAUAAUAAUAACAUACUGUAGAAUACUAAACGAUCAAGGUUGUUCGAUUUAAUGUGUGUAACAUUAACUCAAUUAAAAGUAAAGUUGAUUGAAAAACAUUUAAAACAAUGAAACCGUUAACAGUUCGGUGCCGUAAAUAUAUAUCAGUUUUU